rnacentral:rRNA from 1 species
GCUUGUCUCAAAGAUUAAGCCAUGCAUGUCUAAGUAUAAACAAAUCUAUACUGUGAAACUGCGAAUGGCUCAUUAUAUCAGUUAUAGUUUCUUUGAUGGUUCUUACUACUUGGAUAACCGUAGUAAUUCUAGAGCUAAUACAUGCAUGAACCCCCGACUUUUGAAGGGGUGUAUUUAUUAGAUGGAAACCAAUGCGGGGUAACCCGGAAUAUGGUGAUUCAUAAUAACUUUCGGAUCGAUUUAUCGAUGCAUCAUUCAAGUUUCUGCCCUAUCAGCUUUGGAUGGUAGGGUAUUGGCCUACCAUGGCUUUAACGGGUAACGGAGAAUUAGGGUUCGAUUCCGGAGAGGGAGCCUGAGAAAUGGCUACCACAUCCAAGGAAGGCAGCAGG